UACGUAGGGUGCGAGCGUUACUCGGAAUUACUGGGCGUAAAGCGUGCGCAGGCGGUUUUGUAAGCCAGAUGUGAAAUCCCCGGGCUUAACCUGGGAAUGGCAUUUGGGACUGCAAGGCUUGAGUGCGGCAGAGGAGACUGGAAUUCCUGGUGUAGCAGUGAAAUGCGUAGAUAUCAGGAGGAAUACCGAUGGCGAAGGCAGGGCUCUGGGCUGACACUGACGCUCAGGCACGAAAGCGUGGGGAGCAAACAGG
rnacentral:rRNA from 1 species